GUUAUUGCAGCAGACACAGUGCCAGGUACUAAGAAUAGGAAAAUAAAUAACACUUAAUUGUUUUCUUUCUUUUUUUAUUUGUCUGCUGUAUUUCCCAUUAAUUUAUUUAUUCAGUGCGAUUUUUUUUUCUCCCCAUGUGAGCCACCAAAACAGUUGAUAGCCUAUAGGGAAGACAGACAAGCAAACAGAUUAUUGACAACCCAUCUAAUUGGUUGUUUAAUGAGAGUGUGAAUGGAGCCCUGUGGGAUCUAAAUCCGGGAUGCAGAGAAAAGCUCCCGGUGAGUCCCUUCUACCAGGGUGUAAGGCAUGAGUACAUUCCGACCUCUUAGGAGUAACCCUCUAACUGACUCCUGCUUCUCUCCUCUGCUUCCUAUAACCUCUUGUCUACACAGUUGCUGAGAAAAUUUUUUAAAUGAGAGUCAAAGCCUAGCAAAUUCCUAUGUGAUAUUUUCAGUGAUCGCUGGUUGCUUUCAGAAGAAAACCCAAGCUCCUCACCAUGCCACAAAGGCCUGAAUAUCCUGGCCCCUGCUCCCCACUCUUCUCUCAUCAUCACUUACGGUCAAUUCAGCCUCCUUCCAACCAAGUACCUGGCAUCUGCUGACUUCCCAGAGGUGGGUUCUACGGUCACUGUUUGCUGCUUGAUGUAUUGUGCACAAAGAGGAAAGAACUCUGGAAAGCCAGUCCCCAUCAGAUUGCUUUGGAUGUGCAGUCUGAGCAGGCCCAGAUAUUCAAAGGCAGAUGGAGGCACAGCAGUGGUUUCUGGACUUGAAUAUGUAUACUGCCUGUGA
rnacentral:lncRNA from 1 species